rnacentral:rRNA from 1 species
AGAGUUUGAUCAUGGCUCAGAACGAACGCUGGCGGCGUUAACACAUGCAAGUCGCGUGCGCAGUUUCCGUAGCAAUACGGGGAUGGGCGCACGGCGCACGGGUGCGUAACACGUGGGCAAUCUGCCCUCCGAUGGGGAAUACCCCCGCGAAAGCGGGACUAAUUCCGCAUAACAUUCCUUGGAUUAAUUUUCGAGGAUUCAAAGCAGCAAUGCGUCGGAGGAGGAGCCCGCGCCCGAUUAGCUAGUUGGUGAGGUAACGGCUCACCAAGGCAAUGAUCGGUAGCUGGUCUGAGAGGAUGGCCAGCCACACUGGAACUGAGACACGGUCCAGACUCCUACGGGAGGCAGCAGUGGGGAAUCUUGCACAAUGGGCGAAAGCCUGAUGCAGCGACGCCGCGUGGGGGAUGAAGCUUUUCGGAGUGUAAACCCCUUUCGACUGGGACGAAUGCCUCGCAAGAGGAGUGACGGUACCAGUAUAAGAAGCCCCGGCUAACUACGUGCCAGCAGCCGCGGUAAGACGUAGGGGGCCAGCGUUGUUCGGAAUUACUGGGUGUAAAGGGUUCGUAGGCGGUGUGGCAAGUCGGGGGUGAAAUCCUGGAGCUCAACUCCAGAACUGCCUUCGAUACUGGCGAUCUCGAGUUCGGGAGAGGUGAGUGGAACUGCGAGUGUAGAGGUGAAAUUCGUAGAUAUUCGCAAGAACACCAGUGGCGAAGGCGGCUCACUGGCCCGAUACUGACGCUGAGGUGCGAAAGCGUGGGGAGCAAACAGGAUUAGAUACCCUAGUAGUCC